GCAUCGUCCCCCGUUGGGCCCACGCUCUGCGCCUUCCUGCGCCUUCAGCCGGUUCCUGCGUGUGAGCUUCAGAACAGCUAAACCAGGGAGGUUCCCAGUCAUACCCCACAACCCUGCGUCAGACAUGCAUUGGACACCCAGGUACCUGCGCAGGUCUGGAGGGUUCAUGCAGGAGUGCAACCAGCAGGCCUCUUCUACUUGCCUUCUGGGGCCAGUGGGCAGUGAACCAGGAAUGGGCAGCCCCUUCAUAGAGCUGAGCACAACAAGGAACAUGCAUCUCUGAGUCUGUCAUCAGAAUGUUUAUGUCAAGUCUGCACGACGAGAGGAUUGUUGGGUUUCUGUCCUUUGGUGUUUAUGGAGUACAUAAAAAAGAACUACUCUGAGUAAAUAAACAGAGACGAUUAGAGGCUUCCUCAGUGGGGGGC
ensembl:lncRNA